UACGGAGGGUGCAAGCGUUAAUCGGAAUUACUGGGCGUAAAGCGUGCGUAGGCGGCUUGCUAAGCCAGAUGUGAAAGCCCCGGGCUCAACCUGGGAACUGCAUUUGGAACUGGCCAGCUAGAGUUUGGUAGAGGGGGGCGGAAUUUCAGGUGUAGCGGUGAAAUGCGUAGAGAUCUGAAGGAACACCAGUGGCGAAGGCGGCCCCCUGGACCAAAACUGACGCUGAGGUACGAAAGCGUGGGUAGCAAACAGG
rnacentral:rRNA from 1 species